rnacentral:rRNA from 1 species
CAGUCGCCGCGGUAAUGCGAAGGGGGCUAGCGUUGUUCGGAUUUACUGGGCGUAAAGCGCACGUAGGCGGAUCGAUCAGUCAGGGGUGAAAUCUCAGAGCUCAACUCUGGAACUGCCUUUGAUACUGUCGAUCUGGAGUAUGGAAGAGGUGAGUGGAAUUCCGAGUGUAGAGGUGAAAUUCGUAGAUAUUCGGAGGAACACCAGUGGCGAAGGCGGCUCACUGGUCCAUUACUGACGCUGAGGUGCGAAAGCGUGGGGAGCAAACAGGAUUAGAUACCCCCGUAGUCCCUGUCUCUUAUAC